rnacentral:lncRNA from 1 species
UGUUUAUAUUGAGCUGCACAACCACAGUUGUAAUUUUUUUUUAGGCAACUGCUCUUUUGCGAUAUCAAAAUUAUCACUUUGAAGUAGAGCAUUGUGUGAGUAUUUAAUCUGUGAAGAAUCAGGAAUCACAUCUUAAAUAUAUAUUUUUUAAAUGUGACUAAGAAUGAGAGGAGGCUGUAUUCUCAGGAUACUUACUGUAGCUGUCACAUGCUUACAGGCCUCCACCAACACCAACCCAUAAACACGUUGCAAGCUUUAUGCUUGCAUGUUAGUGCAAGAAGUGGCAAUAGCAUGCAUGCUGCUUGUUGUUUCGAUAGCACAGUUUCCACUUCCUGGUGACUGAUGUGGCAGAGUAGGAGUUUGAACUAUAGGCCUGCAGGUCAAAGAAGGAAAUGAUUGUCACUUUGCUGGCUUUCUUUCUCCAUGGCUAUGCAUUUGCCUUUGGGGAGCACAACGCUGUUAUCGGAACCCAAUUCUUCCUCACACUGAACAAGACAAACAUGGUAAACUUCUUCUUCAACUAUGUUCGCUGUGCUGUAGCCACUACUCUGGCACUAGGGGCUGCCAACGAGAGGACAGAACCAAUCGGCUACCUCAUAUCCGCAUACGUUUUCUCAGGAUUAAUCUACCCUCUGGCUUGUCACUGGGUCUGGGACCAGCAAGGCAUCUUCAGUCCAACCUCCACCUCCUACCCAUCACAGGACUAUGCAGGCAGCGGUGUGAUCUUCUUGCUUGGUGGUGCAGCGGCAGCUGUCUCACUGCGGGUUAUAGGAUCACGGGCUGGACGCUGGAGUCCCCAUUUCAAACAGACAGAGCACAGCCAGCCUAUGGUGGUGCUGGGAGGAUGCCUUCAAAUGCUGGGCUUCUUGGGCCUGGUGAUAGGCACUCACCCCCGUGUGUUGGAUGCUGAUGAGGGCCUGUUACUGGGGCUAGGCACUGUAAACUUGUUGCAUGCUGCUACAAGCGGAGGACUCUACGGACUAAUGAUCCAACGCAUCGAUAAGAACUACUAUGAUCUCGACAGCAUGCUCUCUGGGGCCAUUGCUGGCAUGGUGGCAGUGUGUGCAGGAGUAGACACCUACAUGCCUGGUGUGGCAGUCAUGUGUGGGGCCACUGGAUCUCUCCUCUUUAUUGGCUUUCGCCGCUUCCUCUGUGCUGUGAGGGUGGAUGACCCCCUUAACAUCAUCUCUGGGUACUUAAUUCCAGGGGCCUGGGGCUUGAUGCUUGCAGGUUUAUUCUCUGAUCAUGGGGCUCUUGGAGGACAUAUCCAGGUGUUGGGGAACAAUUGCAUUGUGGCACUGGUGUUAUUCUUCUGGGCAGUGGCUAUUAUGUACCCUCUUCUCUCCAUACUCAUGUGUUUUGGAGUGCUGCGAGUCCCCCGCUUUAUGGAGAAACAAGGAAUAGACAAAAUCAGACACACGCUAAGACACCCUCACGGCACCAGGAAGUCACUGAACUAA